UCCGUAGGCGGGUAAUUAAGUCAGAGGUGAAAUCCCACAGCUCAACUGUGGAACUGCCUUAGAUACUGGUUAUCUUGAGUUUUAGUGAAGUAGAUAGAAUAUGUAGUGUAGCGGUGAAAUGCAUAGAUAUUACACAGAAUACCGAUUGCGAAGGCAGUCUACUAACUAACAACUGACGCUAAUGGACGAAAGCGCGGGGAGCGAACAGGAUAGAUACCCUGGUAGUCC
rnacentral:rRNA from 1 species